rnacentral:rRNA from 1 species
AACAGGAUUAGAUACCCUGGUAGUCCAUGCCGUAAACGAUGUCUACUAGCCGUUGGGGCCUUUGAGGCUUUAGUGGCGCAGCUAACGCGAUAAGUAGACCGCCUGGGGAGUACGGUCGCAAGACUAAAACUCAAAUGAAUUGACGGGGGCCCGCACAAGCGGUGGAGCAUGUGGUUUAAUUCGAUGCAACGCGAAGAACCUUACCUGGCCUUGACAUACUAGAAACUUUCCAGAGAUGGAUCGGUGCCUUCGGGAAUCUAGAUACAGGUGCUGCAUGGCUGUCGUCAGCUCGUGUCGUGAGAUGUUGGGUUAAGUCCCGCAACGAGCGCAACCCUUUUCCUUACUUGCCAGCAUUUCGGAUGGGAACUUUAAGGAUACUGCCAGUGGCAAACUGGAGGAAGGCGGGGACGACGUCAAGUCAUCAUGGCCCUUACGGCCAGGGCUACACACGUGCUACAAUGGUCGGUACAAAGGGUUGCUACACAGCGAUGUGAUGCUAAUCUCAAAAAGCCGAUCGUAGUCCGGAUUGGAGUCUGCAACUCGACUCCAUGAAGUCGGAAUCGCUAGUAACCGCGGAUCAGAAUGCCGCGGUGAAUACGUUCCCGGGCCUUGUACACACCGCCCGUCACACCAUGGGAGUUUGUUGCACCAGAAGUAGGUAGUCUAACCGCAAGGAGGACGCUUACCACGGUGUGGCCGAUGACUGGGGUGAAGUCGUAACAAGGUAACC